UCGUGCGACGCGCUCUGGACCGUCGCGGCCAUAAAAUCCAGCGCCCGCUCGCCCGCUCGCUGAGCGGCCUGGUGGCCCCGUGGUCUUAAGCACAAGCCGCGCCGUUGUCCGUGUUCGUCUCGUGACGUCCGCGACGCCGCCUUGCUCUCGGCGGCGGCCAAAUUUCCUCUGCGUCACCGCUAAGCGGGACCCGGCUCGCUCUCGCUAACGGGCCCGCUUAUCAUCAAAAGCUCGAGGGUGAUUGCGGAGGAGAGAAAGCUUACGCCGACGCUCGCUUGACAAAUCGGCGCCCGGUACGAAUCUUGAAGAUUUUACUCCGACCUCAGAUCGGACGAGAUUAC
rnacentral:misc_RNA from 1 species